UUUAAAUUAACAACAUCUUCCAGCAAUCCUUAGUCCGAAAACUGCUCGAAGAAAAGAUCCUCCUUGGGCAAUUUGCUUGGGUUUCCUGGGUUUCGUCAGUGAUAAUUUAUACAUGCCGCGCCUGGCGCGUGUUGGUGAGGUAAUGAAGCUGCAGUCAGAUGACUGCCUCAACGCCUUCCAUAAGGUUGGGGUGAUCCUAGAUCAUGGUGGCCGCGCGUGGCGUUCUGUGCGCAGCGGUGUCAUCGCGAUGUAUAGUUGUAUAGUUGUAGACGGUUUUUAUUUUCGGCCACACAUAUGUGCCGAUAUUAUGUUGAUAAUCGCUACGCAGUACGUGGCGCACUGCGGUCAGGAGUCGUAUCCGUUCGGCGGGUUAGUUGUAGAAGUUUUCAAGUCAGAUAUAUUUGCUGGCUCAGUCUCCUUUUGGGCGUCUUUGAUGAGCACAAGAUGUAUAUGAUCAAGCCGCACGUGGCGUGCGGUGUUCCGGUGACGUAAACGAUUGAUGUGGACACAAAAAUUUGCGGUGCCUCACCAUGCCGAUCCUCUUCAAGUUGUCUGCUGACCAGAAGUCGAGCACAACUGUAGCAAGCUCGGUACUCCCUGGCCGGCUUUUACUAUCACGUUUCUUUUGACGAUAUUGGUAUCCCUCAGCCCCAGUACCGUACAAUACAUCAUCCAACGGUUUGUUCUAGAUAGAGGUGGAGAACUAUCGAUGGCACUAUCGACACUAUCGAUGGUUGGGCGCUAUCGAGCCACUAUCGAUAGCAGCAGACACCUUCGAUAGCGGCCCGUCCACUAUCGAUAGUGCCAUCGAUAGCGGGCGUCUCACAUCGCUAAAAUACUUUAACGCGCAUUUCACACACAACUUCACACAAACAACUGAAAAAUUGUUAAAAUUGACGGGAAUUAUAAAAAAAACUAUUAAAAAUGGAACGCUUUUUAAAAAAAGGUACACGUCGGAGGUCCGCAACACCUACUGCGCCAAGUCCAAACAAACAGGACUGUGAUUGCACCAGCACGGACUCUGAAAAAGAUGUUCUCCCCGAAAGCCAAAAGAACUCUAAAAGGAGUAAAAUAUCAACUGUUUGGAAGUAUUUUAAGAGGUCCGACGACAAAAAACUUGCCAAAUGCCUUGACUGUGGCAAGGAAGGAGCUUUUAGCAAGGCAGGGCAAAUUGUUUCCGAGAGACGCACCCGGCUCAAAGAGAAAAACAUUAACAUCCUGUUAUUUUUGAAUCAAAACUUUUGGUUAAAAUAAACCAUUUUUCUUAAAAACUUAAAAAAAAAAA